GAGCUGCAGCGAAAGGUCCAACUACAGUUUCCGAGGAUUCCGAGGAAGAGGAAGAAAUUGACUUUGAUGAUGACUUUGAAGACGAUGAUGAUGAAAUGCUUGAGCAUUAUUUGGCACAAAAGUCUGAGAAAUCAACAGAGGGAUC